CAUCCACCGCUCAGGGAGCAGCAGGAGGGUCUCCAGACAAUCUCUCGCCCCUCCCGGGGCAGCUCCCUGCCCGCCCCGGCUGCUCCCGAGCCUCUCAUCGAUAACCAUCGGCUAUUUGCAAGGGUAAACAGCGACAGAGCCGGCGGCACAGGCGAGGGAGGGAGGGAAGGAGGGGGAAAAGCCUUGUCUGCCUCGGGAGCACCACCCGUGGCACAGCGAGCGCUGCGGCGGGCAGAGCCGCACGGAGAGCAGCGGGCGGAGGGGUCGCGGGCGCGGGGCCGAGCCCAGACUGAUCUGGGGGGGGCCCGUCCCGUCGGGGCAGGUCCCGGGCGGGGCCGGGUGGUGGCGGCGGCCUCCAAUGGGGGCUAAAGGGGGCCGCUCUGUGGGGAUGCCCGCUUCCCGCUGCCCGUUACCCGCUGCCCGCUACCUGCUCCGCUCUGCUCGGCGGCUCUCGGCGGGAGGCAGCGGAGGAGAGAAGCGGCCGGAGAAGAAGACGGAGCCGGGCUGCCGAGAGCCGCAGCCGGUUGUUUCAUCUGCAAGGAGGGACACCAGAAAGGUUGUGAACGGAGAAGAAAUGAAAUAUUACCCUCUCUAUGGAAGGGUCAUACCGUCGCGGAUACAGCGCUGGAAUAGGAGCUGGCUGGGAAAGCAUCAUUUAUAACACAGCCAAAACACUUCUUCCCAUCCCAAAACCUGGGAAAGGAAUGAAUAGAUCGCCCCGAAAAACCCGAUUGAUGAAGGCAAAUACAUGUCAGACGGGCAAAGAGAAGAAGGAAAAUUCCCUAAAUAUCCAACGGGUCACUUACAUGAGGGAACGAUGCACAUCGCACUCACAUCUACAGUCCGAUACACCACAGAUGUGUUUGUCGAUGUGCUGGACAGCAUGUUUGAAAUGAUGUUUUAUGCAAUAGUGUUUCGAAGGGCUCGCGAGGAGGGUGGCCAGCGUGGCACAUAGAACCGUGCAGCCAGGCGUUGUGCCCAGCAGCCGAGCCGCAGCGCCGUGCUUCCAGCCGGCUGUCAGAGAGAGGACCCGCCCUAGCAAAGAGGAGACGAACCUACUUCAAGCCUGUCACCGUGUGCUUCACAGAAAGGUGCGGCGAGGGCAGGGAGGGGGAGAGAGAGCGAAGGGAACAGGGGGAAACCCCGACGAGGUGUCGGGGCGAGGGCACCCGACGGGGAGCUGCGGGAGCGGCUGCUGGCGGGCCUCGGGCCGCGCAGGUGCCGGGGUUCCGCGCCCGCGUUGCCUUCGCCGAGCUCUGCGGGGCCCCUCGUAGGACCUGGACACCCGCCGCAGGCGAGGUGGGGGCGGCGGUACCGUCCCGUCGGGUUCCCGGCCCAGGAGGAGAGGUGAGAGCGGCCGUCGGCACAUGUGCGCUGCACACACCGGCGCUGUCUCCUCUCGACAAAGUGGACCCGUGAUUAAUACCGGCGGACAGCUCCCCCCGACCCCUCUCCCCCUCCCCUUUUCUCCUCCCCUCUCGCCCACUCCUCCCGAGGUCCU